rnacentral:rRNA from 1 species
CACGUAGGGCGCAAGCGUUGUCCGGAAUUAUUGGGCGUAAAGAGCUCGUAGGCGGUCUGUUGCGUCUGCUGUGAAAACUCGGGGCUUAACCCCGAGCCUGCAGUGGAUACGGGCAGACUAGAGGUAGGUAGGGGAGAAUGGAAUUCCCGGUGUAGCGGUGAAAUGCGCAGAUAUCGGGAGGAACACCGAUGGCGAAGGCAGGUCUCUGGGCAUUAACUGACGCUGAGGAGCGAAAGCAUGGGGAGCGAACAGG